rnacentral:rRNA from 1 species
AUUGAACGCUGGCGGCAUGCCUUACACAUGCAAGUCGAACGGUAACGCGGGGCAACCUGGCGACGAGUGGCGAACGGGUGAGUAAUGCAUCGGAACGUGCCUGGUAGUGGGGGAUAACUGCUCGGAAGAGCAGCUAAUACCGCAUACGACCUGAGGGUGAAAGGGGGGGAUCGCAAGACCUCUCGCUAUCAGAGCGGCCGAUGUCGGAUUAGCUAGUUGGUGGGGUAAAGGCCCACCAAGGCAACGAUCCGUAGCUGGUCUGAGAGGACGACCAGCCGCACUGGGACUGAGGCACGGCCCAGACUCCUACGGGAGGCAGCAGUGGGGAAUUUUGGACAAUGGACGCAAGUCUGAUCCAGCAAUGCCGCGUGCGGGAAGAAGGCCUUCGGGUUGUAAACCGCUUUUGUUAGGGAAGAAAUUCUCCGGGCUAAUACCCAGGGGGGAUGACGGUACCUAAAGAAUAAGCACCGGCUAACUACGUGCCAGCCGCCGCCGUAA